UGGCUGGGGUCGAGGCGAGCGGGUUCCGCGGGCGGCUGUCGCUCCUCCCCGGGGGGCUUGACUGUUCUCCGGCUGCAUCUUCUGCAGACCAGCCUGGAAGGCCGCAGAGGUUUGCUGGAAAGGGCCGCUCUCCGCCUCAGUGGGUGCAAAGGAAACGGAGCCGGCGUUGUCACCAUUUCUGGGAACUCUGGAUUGAGGAAUAUUUUCUUCCUCUCAGGUUGACAGAGAAUAAAAACGUCAGCCAAUGGAAGUGAGCAUGUUGCGGGGGACCAGCACUCUUAACUUUUAGUUUUUAACAUAACUUUUCGGUAUUUUAAGAGUCUUAAAGUGCACAUGACUUUUAGGCCACCAGUUCCACUUAAAAGUUAAUCACAAAGAAACAUCAGAGCUCUGUGUCUGACUCUCCUGUUACUAGCAAGAGCAUUAGUGUGGUAUGCCACACCCAACACAGGGAUUCUGAAAACAAUCGAGUACAGAAAGAAGAGGAUUUCUCAGAAAGAACACAUAUUCAUUUUGUUUCCUCUUGGCUUUUGAAAGCUUUAUAAAGUUCUCCCUAGGAGAUAAGGACUCCGACCCGAAAUAACAUC